rnacentral:rRNA from 1 species
CCUUGUCGGGUAAGUUCCGACCUGCACGAAUGGUGCAACGAUCUGGAUACUGUCUCAACCAUGAGCUCGGUGAAAUUGUAAUGCCGGUGAAGAUGCCGGCUACCCGCAGCGGGACGAAAAGACCCCGUGAACCUUUACUACAGCUUCACAGUGGCAUUAAAGAACUUAUGUGUAGGAUAGGUGGGAGGCUUUGAAGCAGUGUCGCCAGAUGCUGUGGAGCCAACCUUGAAAUACCACCCUUAAUUUCUUUGAUGUCUAACCGCGCCCCUGGAUGGGGCCGGGACCCUGUGUGGCGGGUAGUUUGACUGGGG